rnacentral:tRNA from 1 species
UCCCUGGAGGUCCAGUGGUUAGGACUCCACACUUCCAAUGCAGGGGACCCAGGUUUGAUCCCUGGUAGGGGAU